GAGACGUUUUCUUUGAAGUUCGAUCAGUGCUGAUAUUAACAAGUCCGAUAGAAGAUACUGGCGGUGGUUGGUUGAGAAAACCAUACGAUGCAAUGCCAGACAUUCACAUCGUAUACGCCGCACUCAUACAUGAAAACCAUUCAUGCAAAACUCUACAAUUUCGGAUUUUUUAACUAAAAAUCCUUCAGCACGCCUGCUUUCAGGACAAACACAAUUUCUCUAGAACUAAAGAAACAUGCAUUCCAAGAGAAGGUCUUAGUCCAGGGCGGUAGGGCCGUGUGCUCUGUCCCAGGACGGACCAUUCGCACAACAGCCAUUGCAAGAG
rnacentral:sRNA from 1 species